rnacentral:tRNA from 1 species
GCGAACGUAGUUCAGUGGUAGAACACCACCUUGCCAAGGUGGGGGUCGCGGGUCCGAAUCCCGUCGUUCGCU